rnacentral:lncRNA from 1 species
CUGAUCGGGUGUAGGCAAUCAGCAAUUAAGCCCAGGCAAAAAUUGAAUAGCCUUGCACUGCCACUGCAGGCAGAGUAGAGAUUGUGGAGGGAUAAACUCUACCAAUUUGAAACGAAAUCUUUCUAACAUUCUUCAUAGUGAGUCUUGGAGUUGGGACCAAAUCCUAAAUAAACCAGUGGAGCAGCUUUUACCUGUGAGCCAUUUACAGCAAGCAGAUGCAGAAUGCCCUACAGUUUGUUGUGAGAACACUACGCACCAACUGCUGGCUAUGAAUGCAUUCUCCAAGCUGACUCUGAAAUGGCAUAAUAAGAGCAACAGUUCUUUGCAGUCCAAGGCGGUCCAGGCACUGGGUGUUAGAUGGCUGAUCGAGGAGGAGGAGGAGGAGGAGGAGAAGGAGAAGGAGUUGCAGAUGCAGCCGGUUAUCCUGCAUAUCAAGCAUGGUCUCAGCAGCUGACUCUUCAGUUUUCUUCUCCAUCCACGAACACCGAGUGAAUAUAAAUGGAUCUGAACUUUAGCUGCCUUUCAACAUCACAUUCUGACAUAUUGCAGGACCUCCAAUGGCACCUCAUCCGCUAAAGAAACAGUGUAUAAACAAUGAAAUUAAAUCAAACUGCAAUGAAAAUAUGUGCAUGACAUAUGCAUGACAUAUGGGAGUGUUAUUAAAUAAAGCAUAUUGUCU